rnacentral:rRNA from 1 species
AUUGAACGCUGGCGGAAUGCUUUACACAUGCAAGUCGAACGGCAGCAUAGGUGCUUGCACCUGAUGGCGAGUGGCGAACGGGUGAGUAAUACAUCGGAACGUGCCCAGUCGUGGGGGAUAACGUAGCGAAAGUUACGCUAAUACCGCAUACGAUCUACGGAUGAAAGCGGGGGACCGUAAGGCCUCGCGCGAUUGGAGCGGCCGAUGUUAGAUUAGGUAGUUGGUGGGGUAAAGGCUCACCAAGCCGACGAUCUGUAGCUGGUCUGAGAGGAUGAUCAGCCACACUGGGACUGAGACACGGCCCAGACUCCUACGGGAGGCAGCAGUGGGGAAUUUUGGACAAUGGACGCAAGUCUGAUCCAGCCAUUCCGCGUGCAGGAUGAAGGCCCUCGGGUUGUAAACUGCUUUUGUACAGAACGAAAAGGUCCUGGUUAAUACCUGGGGCUCAUGACGGUACUGUAAGAAUAAGCACCGGCUAACUACGUG